AUGAACACGAGGCUUCUCUGCUGUGUAGCCUUCUGUCUCCUGAGAGCAGGCUCUUUGGGUGGCCAGAUUAUCCAGACACCACGACAUCUGUUCAAAGGGAAUGGACAGAAGGCAAAUAUGAGCUGUACCCCUGAAAAGGGGCAUACUUUUGUUUAUUGGUAUCAACAGAAGCAGGACAAAGAGUUAAGGUUUUUGAUUUCUUUUCAACGUCAAGAUGUUCGUGACAGUAUCGACCUCGUCAAGGAGCGAUUCUUGGCUGAGUGUCCCGUAAACUCACCCUGCAGCCUGGAAAUCCAGUCCUCUGAAGCAGGAGACACCGCACUGUACCUCUGUGCCAGCAGUCUCUCCACAGCGCUGAAAUGUGCAUUGACUUUAGUGCACAAACCCUCCAUGGAGCCCACUCAGGAAACAGGUGAUGGGCUGGAAGGAAGUAACAGAAAUUAA